rnacentral:lncRNA from 1 species
ACGGAUCUUCAAUUAUCAAAUGAAGAGUUAAAUUGAAAAAUAACACAAAGAUUGAAUAGAUGAAUUUUCUAGAGAUCACCGGGAAAAUACUCAAGGCUCCAUACUACGAAGGAGGUUAUUAUUUAGACAAACCAGGAUGCAGAAAAAGCAUGUUCGCAGUUCAUUUAUUUCGACAAACCACGCUGCAGAAAAGCAUUUUCAAAAUCAAUUUGUAUGUCUUGUAAUCAAAGUCAGAUUAUAAACAAUAAAAAUGGCUCAUUGAAGAAAUUUGAUUUAUCUUGAACCAUUCCCCGUACUUAUAUCUUUGAACCAAGAAUAUGUUGACCUCAGCUGCAAAAUCAAUAAAGAUUUAAACAAAAAGGAUUCACUAUCUUUCAUAUUUAUGAACCAAGGAGAAAAGGUUCUAUGCUAUGUAGGAGGUUAAUUUUUGACAAAACCAAGCUGAAAAAGGAAGUCAUUGAUGUCUUGCAUUAAAAUUAAUAAACAAUAAUCACCAAAAUCAAAACCUCAUAAACAUGAAANAAACAAUGAUCACCAAAAUCAAAACCUCAUAAACAUGAAACCAGAAAGGAAAAAGAAUACAAAACAUGAAGAUCAAAUAAGAGCAAGAAAGAAAGAACCAGAAGAAAUCGUGUUUUCAUAGAUAUUUCUCCUGAAACACCAAAAAGAUCACCAAAUCAAAAAAUCAACUGAAACUGAUUUAAUAAUACAUAAAAAACAAUGAAGAAAUUUUGAAAACAAAAAUAAUUUAACAGACAUCACCAAAUCAAAUCCAUGCUUAGUUUGCAAACUACCCACCACGCUGCAGAAUAAUUAAGAAUAUGUUCAAUAUUCAAAUUGUAUGCUUUCCAAUCAAAUUAAAAUAAUUAAUUAUCAACUAAAGAAAUUUGAUUUAUCUAACUGGAGCCUUUCUUGUACCUUGUAUCAAGAGGUUUCACUGCAAAACCGAUAAAUGAUCUCUCGAUUAUCAAAAUGAAUAAUUAAUUAUAUAAAAAAUUUAAGAAUUUUAAGAAAUUUUUAUGUAAAAGAAGAGUCGAGAGAAGUGUGAUUGUGUGAAAAUGUUGGAAAGUAUAUCUUAACAAUCACUGAAAUUAAGUAAUCACAGAUCAAAGAAACAAGAAAGUAAAACACCAAAUCAAGCAUUCUCUGAAUUGACAUAGAAAGAUAGAACCAAAAAGAUUUACUAGAUAUCACCAAAUCAAAUCUAGAGGCUCCAUGCUAUGAAUAAAGAACAUUUUUAAUACUCUGACAAACCACGCUGCAGAAAUGGAUAAAGGACUCAUUGAAGAAAAAUAAUUAUCUAUCAAGAGCAGUACAACGGAUAAAUGGAUCUUCGAUUAUCAAAGAAGAGUUAUAUCGAAAAAUAAUACUCAUUAACUAAUCGUAAAAGAAGAUUCAAGAAAAGUACGAGAGUGUGAAAUAUAUCCUCUCAGAAGCAUUGAACGGAAAAUUUACUAGAUAGAGAUCACCAGAAAAUUCUCAAGCCUCCAUACUCAGGAGGUUAAUAAUUAGACAAACCAAGCUGCAGAAAAAGCAAGAUCACGGUUCAAUUCUUCUCAUAAUCUAAAACUUGAAAUUAAAAACAAUAAAGAAUGAAUCAUUGAAGAAAUUCGAUUUAUCUAUUUGAAGCCAAUCUCCAUUCAUAUCCGUUGUGUAAAGAAUCACAAAAUGUUUAUAGUUUUUCCGGAUUCCGCCACCUGCUGCAAAUUAAACAUAUAUCUCCAUUAUCUACUUAUGAUAGAAGAAGAUCAAAAGACCCAAGCGAAAAGAUAAACUGCAGACUCCUGAUACAACAUUAUAAAAACUGCAACACUAUCCCAUCACACCAUCAGAGCACAACUAUCCCAUCACACCAUCAGAGCACAACUAUCCCAUCCCAACACAAAAUGAAACCAGUUUUAUUACCAAGGUUGAGUGAAAAGUAGGAUGUAUGACCAGCUUUAUUCCAAGUCUGAACGGAAGUAAUAAACCUAAAUGACAGAUUACAUCAAAGCAGUCACAAUUUCUCCAGAAUUGUGUAAACUAUCACGGUCAGAAUACAUCAAAAACCUGAAUGUAAGGAAAUCAGAGUAAGGCUGAACUUCUAAGAUAUAAACAAGAGGAAGAUCGAUAGAACCAGAAUAUGUUUAAAAAAGAUCACACUUCUCCUGCGACACGGAAGAAUAAACAACAAAUAAAGAUAUAUAUAUGUUGAUAAAAGAAAUUUUUAAAAUGAAAAGAAUUAAAUAGUUAUCACCAAAUCAAAAUGCUAGGUUCCAUGCCACGAAGCAGGUUAUUAGUGUGACAAACCAUGCUGCAGGAAAACAUGUUCAAAAUUCAAUUCGUAUGUCUUGCAAUUGAAGCCCAGAAAUUAAAAUAAUAAACAAUGGCUCAAUGAAGAAAUUUGAUUUUUAUCUAUCGGGGCUGUUGUUCUUUUCCGGUGUAUGAAACGUUCUAGAUAAUGAAGAUUUCACAGACUGCAAAAGAUGGAUAAAUGCAUGUCACAGAGCAAACAAUAUGGCCACCUAGUUAAAAAAUCAAGUAACAAAAGAAGGUAUGAACAAGAAUAAACAAACAAACCUCAUAAUCAAGAAAUCAAAAGCAUAUCUUCUCAUGUAACACCAUCAAGAAAUCAAAAUCAUAUCCUCUUAAUACCAGGAAGUAAAUUAACAAUUUAACAUUCAAGAAACAUUUGUUCUUAGAAUCAACAAUGUAAGAUUGAAACAAAAAGGAUUUACUAGAUAUCACCAAAUCAAAACUUCAGGCUCUAUGCUGUGAAGGAUAUUAUUAUUUUGACAAACCAAACUGCAGUCUAAACCAACAAAAACAAAUAAUCAACCAGACAAAUCAUGAAACCGAAAGAAUCAAUCAAAAAUGAAUAAAGAAUGCAAAACAUGAAGACCAAACAAGAGGAAGAUACAUAUCACUAGAAGAAGUCGUAUGUUACAAAAUUACUUUUCCUGCAAGACCAAAGAGGGUAAAAACAGGUCAAGAAAUACAUGAUCUCAGAGAAUAAAGAAUUUUAAAAAAUGAAAAGAAUUUAUUACAGAUCACCAAAUCAAAACGCUAGGCUCCAUGCAUCAAGCAGGUAAUAGUUUAACAAACCACGCUGCAAGAAAACAUGUUGAAAAUUCAAUUUGCAUGUCUUGCAGUAAAAACCCAGAAAUUAAAGUAAUAAAGAACAAAUCAUUGAAUAAAUUGAUUUAUCUAUCUGGAGCCAUUCCGUAUGUUGUAUCAAGCCGUUCUAGUUAAUAAGACUUCUCAGCUUGCUGCAAAAUGGCCAAAUGUAUGUCGAUUAUCUAAUGAAGUUCAUGAUUCAAUUUUUAUGUAUAGCAUUAAAAUCAAUAAAGAACAAACACCAAGAUUGAAACUUCACAAACAUGAACCAGAAAUAAGAACACAAAAUUAUUGGAAGAAAGAUAGAACCAGAGUAAAGCGUGUUUAUUUCUCCUGAAAAACCAAAGAGAUUACCGAAUCAUAAAAAUAUUAUCUGAUUUAAUAGUAUACAUUAAAAAUAAUGAAGAAAUUUUGAAAAGAAAACUGAUUUAACAGACAUCACCAAAUCAGAUCCACGCUUAGUUUGACAAACCACCACGCUGCAGAAUAAAUUAAGAACAUGUUUAAAAUUCAAUUUGUAUGCCUUCCAAUCAAAUCAAAAUUAUUAAGAACUUAUUAAAGAAAUUUGAUUUAUCUAGCUGGAGCCGUUCUUGUCCCUUGUAUCAACUUAUCUAGAGGUUUCACUGCAAAACCGAUAAAUGAUCUCUCGAUAAGAAAUACUUUUAUAAAAAAUUUAAGAAAAUAAUAGUUAUCAAAUAAUUUAAAAUGAUUUUUUAUAUAAAUUUUUUUAAAAACUUUAAUGUAAAAGAAGAGUCAAGAGAAGUGUGAUUGUGUGAAGUUCUUGAUUCUUGACUGUUGUCUGUUAUAUCCCAACGAUCUCGUUUACAACAAACCCUGGAAUAAAGCAAUCACAGAGCAAAGAAUCAAGAAAGUGGAACACCAAAUCAAUCAUAAUUGCAUUCUCCAAAUUGACAAAGAAAGAUAGAACCAAAAACCCUUGCUAUGAAUAAAGAACGAAUCAUGGAUGAAAUUUAAUUUAUUCUUCUCUGUUCUUAUCCGUUGAAUCAACAAUUGCUGCAAAAAAACCAAUGAACACGUAUCUAGAUGAUCCAAAUAUGAAGAACUAUAUCCAAUAAUCAAAUAAUUAAUCAAAUUAAUCUUGAUAACCGAUAAUCCAUUGAGCGAGCGAUUUCUGUGUUCGCCGUUCGCAUAUGAAUAGCUAGCAAAACGAUCCAGAUUCCAAUCUUAAGAUCGCUGCAAACCGAUAAACACAUAUCCAUGUUAUUCAAUUAUGAACAACUAUAUCCAAUAAUCAAAUAAUUAAUCAAAUAUUCUUAAUAACCGAUGAUCCAUAAACUAGCGAUAGAUCGAGCGAUUUUGACGUUCUUCGUUCUCAUAUGAAUAGCAAAACCGAUGAUCCAGAUUCCAAACUUACAAUCGCUGCAAAACUGAUAAACACAUAUAUCGAUUAUUCAAUUAUGAAGAAUCAUAUCCAAUAAUCCAAAAACUAUACAACAAAUAAUUCUCGAUAAACGAUGAUCCAUCAAAACAAGUGUGAAAUUCUUCAUAUCUUAAAUCCGAAAAACGCAAAUCCAUAUCGAUCGAUCGAUCAACACGCAAAACUUUAUAAUCGAGAAAUCAAAAUCAUGAAUCAAAAGUAGAAUCGAGAAAUCAAAAUCAUGAAUCAAAAGUUGAACAGAAAAGAAGAAGAAAGGAGAAAGAGAGAACAAACGAGAGGAACGUAGAACGCGCUAUUUCGAGGCACUUUGGAAAGAGGGAACUUAUGAGGCUUAUAUAGAGGGUGGGGUCAAGUUUGACGGCUACGAUAACGCGUGUGGUGGAAACUUGGACGGUUAUGAUUGAACUAAAAUAAAACGGUUAACGCGUUUCCUUUCUAAAUAAGGCGGUGUGAAACACGCUUGAUGAUAAGAUUUAGUAGGGAGUCGUUGUUGGUUUGCGUGUACCGACUUAAAACUAAAGCUAUCUCUCUAAGAUAUAUAAAACGAUAAAAACUCCAAAAAUAAACAUUAUCCUUGGGUUAAAUUUAUUUUUACCUCCAUUAAAUAUAACAACUUCUAUUUUUAAUUCUUCACAAAAAAUAUUCCAAAUUCCAUUUUAUUUUUUAUUUUUUUGAUAGUAGUAUAAUAAUAACUAUAAAUUUAGGGGAAAUUUGUUCCCCUUCCCUGAGGUUGGGGAGAAACAACACUAAAACCCUUUUAGUUUUCAACUGAAUGCAAAACUCUCGUAAAUUUUAUUAAAAGUGACAAAUAUCUUCUUUACCAUUAACAUUGUUAGUUGUCUGUUACUUCCACUUUCAUUCAGCUUCAACAUCCAUUCUCUCUCUCUCUCUCUCUCUCUCUCUCUCUCUCUCUCUCUCUCUCUCUCUCGUGAGCUCUUGAUGUUGCUUCAUUUCUUGCUUGAAAACUUCAUUGCUUUUAAGUAAAUUUUCUUCUCUGAUUCUUGCUUCCUCUAGCUUAGCUUCUGCAGAUGACUUGUAUUCCAGUAGUAGUAGCUUCUAUUCAAGAACUUCUUUUCUAAGCUGCUUGUUUUCCUUUUCCAAUGCAACAUUCCUUUGCAAUAAAUCCAGUUCAGUAGAGGCUGACUUGAAAUUAAUCUUAUUCAGCCAAGUUAAGUCCAAUUCCUUGGGAUGCACACCAAUAGGAAUAAAAUCAGUAGCAUUCCUCUCUCUUAAGCAUAAAGGAUUUUGCACCCAAGUUCUUAGAACUUUAACUGCUUGCAAAUUCUUAUAAACUCCUUUCAGCCAAUCUUGAAGCUUGUUUUGAGCAUAGUCUUGAGCAUCAAGACAUGUUCUCUGAAGCUCACUCAAGACAAAGUCUACUCUCUCUUUCAGUCUCUUCCAUUCCUUCUCAUAACUGUCCUUAUGCACCAGAUUAGUCUUUGCUAGAACCAAGUUGUUCAACUCUUGAAAUAUGUUCUCACACACAUCUGCUAAAAUAGAAGAAUCUAGAAACAGGGUGGAUGGAGAAGGGACAUUUGUUUUGGCAGGAGCACAAGGUUGAAUAGCUUGGUUGGAAGAUGAAGGUUGGUCAUUUGUGGAGUUAUUGGUUGGAAUAUUGAUCUCAGAAGUUUGACUAGAAAUAGAAGUUAUGACCACAGAAGAUGAGUUAAAUACAUCAACUUCAUCAUCAAAACCUUCUGAUGUGAUCAUAAAAUCAGGUUCAUUGAAAUUUUCAGGAAUAGAAAGAGACUCAAUAUAAUCAGAGACAUUUUGUUCAGGAACAGUUUGUUCAAGAACAGAGACAUCUGGUAAGGUAGUUGAGGCCAUUUGUACACUUGGUGCAUGUUGUUGGGGGCUUUCUAAAGCAAAUUCAUCAGAAGCUACCUCAUAGGCUUUUUCUAGGUUUGACCCACACCUGGUAAUUCACCAGAACAGUGAUUGACCAGAUUCUCUAAGACAGAUGUUUCUGAUGUUUGGUUUGUUGAAGAGGGAUGAGAUGAAGAUUCAAUUAUGUUGACAUGCUUAGGCACUUCUGAUUCAUUAACCACAUCUGCAUCAGCACGAACAAAACUCAAAGGUUUGAUCAUUGGUGGUUGGAAAGGGUGAUCAGCAUGCAGUCUUUCACAGACUUUGUUUCUCAUCUCAAACAUUUCUCCUAUCUUAUUGAGAAUAAAAGGAUAAACAGGAUCAUAGGGAAUCUUGUCAGCAGGCUCUUUGUGAAUUUUGGUGGUUGGUGAAGGGCCUUUGUUGAUAGUUGUGUAGAUUCUGCCUAGAGGGACAUUAUCAAGGUCUGAGGAAGUUGAGGAGGUUGAAAUUGAUGUUGAAUGAGAGGUUGAGGUUGUACUAGAUUUUAUAUUUAUGAUUUCAGUAGAGUGUAGAGAAUCAGGAUUACCUUUUGAAGCUUCUGGGAAAACAGCUUCUGAACAACCAGCAUUCUCCUCCUAAACACCUUCAGCAGAUGCCAUCAACAAACUUCCAGCUUCAAAUGCCACAAGUUCUUGCACAACUACAGCAGCUUUGAUAACUUCCUGAGCAUCUGCACCAACAUCUUCUCUUACAAUGUUGGAUGCAUGGACUUCAAUCUCCUGUGCUAACUCCAACACCUUCUGAAGUGUAGCAGCUGCAAUGUUAUCUUCCUCUUCCAUCACAUGAUCUGCUACCUUCAGUUUCCUGAUAGCUUGCCUUCUCUUCUUCUUUGGAAUUGAAGGUUGGUCAGGAGCAGAUUGGGAAGAAGUUGCAGCAGGUUGACCACUUCUAGUUCUCUUGGUUUAUCAGCCUCCAGAUCUUCAACGUCUUCUUGGAUAGUUGGUAUAGUAGGACCAACUAUGUCUUCCUGAACUAUAGCUCUUUCCUUCUUAGCUCUCUUGGCUUUCUUUGCAGUCUGUUCAGGAGCAUCAUCCAAAUACUCUUCUUUGGUGAGUGCUUUCCUCUUGGUCUUUCUGCUCUUUGCUACUGGUAGGGGACCACCAUACAUGGUUCCAGGAACAUCUUCAAGCCUUAUCUUCUUACCAGUCACAGCAAAGUGAUCUUUGAUAAAGUUCAUCUGAACAUCAAGAGAAUCUUGUUUGCAGAUAGGAGGAAAGUCUUCCAUCAUAAUGGACAUUGCAUCAAAUUCCUUCAAAUCUGUGCUCAGCUUUUUAUAAGGAUCCUUUGCAAUCAAGCUCAUGUUCCUGAGUGUCUUCCCAUUGAUGACCUUGCCUGUUUCUGUAUUAAGUUGCUCAUCAAUGAAGAAGUUGAUAUCCUUCAGAGCUUUCAGAAUCCCUCCUUGAUGAAGAAUCUCUAAAAUAAGCCUUCCAUAGGGAACCCAGCAUCUUUUGUUUUCUUGGCUUUCCCUGAGCUCUUUAAUCAUAUGCUUGAAGAUGUAUCUGGGCACAUUUGCUUUUUCCUUCGUUAUGAAGAAAUGAGGGAAAAUUCUAUGCUCCAAAGAGGGUUGAUCACUACCACCACCUUUUGGUAGAAGAUUUUCAUUCUGAAUCUUCAGAAUCAUCUUCUUCUCCAUGCUCAAAUCACUGUAAGCACCUUUCUUUGUGUUGUUGAACAUGGACUUGUGGACUACUUCAUUCCAAGGGCUAGUCUUGUUGUUACCUACACCACCUUUGAAACUUACUUUAGAAGCUCUAAUGAUAACAAAGGCAAUAGCAUCUUCAGAGAUGAAAACAGGGACGCCCAUGAUGCUUGACCUGAUUUCUGUCCAUGUAAAUGGUUCCAAACCCAUUUCUUCUUGUGAUUUUCCUUCCAGGGUAGGAUCAAUCAAAACUUUCUCUAUUUCUUCCAGCAGAGCAGCCUUCAUAUCGUAAACAUGCGCUCUGACCCAGAAGUGCCUGACAAGGGUCUUGUAUGUUGGGCCAUUCUACAUUUUGAAGUAUUCCAUAAGACCUUGAGCUUCGUAGUUGCCUCUGAUGUCACACCCAUGGUAUGCUAAUGAAAUAAAAUCCACCGGAUUCUCAAUUUGAAUCUUAAGAUGCCAUUCUUCUAAGGACAUGGUCCUCCCUUUGAUUUCAUACGCAGGUGCUUCUUGCAUGCUUGUUGACGUUUCAAGAACUGAACUUGAUGACGCCAUUGAUGAGUAUGAAGAUUUAGGGUUCUAGGGAUUUGAAUGAGGAAGAAUGCGUUUUACUUCGCAAAGAAUCAGUGAGAAAUAGAAAAUGUAGGUUGUGAAGUGAGUAGUGUGUGAUUUGUCUAAUUGUUUUGAGUAAAAACGUUUGCAAUUCAGAAAAGGGACAAACAAACACAUCAUUAAUGACAUAGGGGGCGCGAGAUAGUACAUUCAAAGCUAAAAAUCAUCAUUGCCCUCUUAAGUCAUACACCAAUACAAAUAAGCCACGUCAGAAGUUUUUCAAAGUAACUUCUAAGUUAGUGGGACAGGUGUUACUAAAAAGUAACUUCCAACAUUUCCACUAAUACUACUUGUUCAGGAGCAAAGAAUUCAGCUACUGAAGUUAAAGUGCUGACGUCAUCUUCAGAAGCACAUUUUCCUCAGAAUCUCAGUUAAGAGCUUCUGAUGGACCAUAGCUUCUGAACAGACUUCAGGACCAAACUUCUAGUUCAUGAGCAAGCAAAUUUAAUCAGACACAAAGUGCAUGUUCAAGGUUUUCUUAAUAAAAUCAAAUCUUUCCACAGAUAAAGGCUUAGUAAAUAUACCAGUCCAUUGAUGUUCAGUAUCCAUGAAUUAUAUUGUAUAUCUAAGAUUCCUUUUUGAACAUAGUCUCUAAUAAAGUGGUGUUUGAUAUCAAUAUGCUUGGCUAUUGAAUGUAGAAUAGGAUUCUUUGACAAACAAAUAGCAGCAGUAUUAUCACAAUAAAUGGGAAUACUGUUAGCAUUUAUCUGAUAGUCUUCCAACUGAUGUUUCAUCCAAAGCAGUUGUGUACAACAACUUGCAGCUAAGAUGUAUUCUGUAAUGCCCUAUUUCUAUUAAAGCGAUAAAACACACGAAUAAAAUAAAUAUUCAAGAAAUAGACACUACGUCUUCAACAAAAACCAAACAUGCAUGCAUAUAAAAAUCCUCAACAGUCGCAGCGGAUAUAAAUCAUACAUCUCCAAAGUAUACAUGCCAUGAGAUCAAAAUACAUCAUCAUAUAAAUUCUCCAAAUCCCGACAAAUGGGCAAAUCUCCACAACAUAAAUAAAUCCAGAAUAAUCAAUCUAGAAUAAUCAUAAAGACAGACAUCCUAGAUCAGAGCCUACCCUAAGACUCAAAGGAAACGAUAACGGAGAUAGCUCCCGCUAUCCAAGCAAUCAUCAAGAAACUCACCAAAAGCAAACUAGUCAUGUACUUUGUCUACUCAUCCAUACAGACAGGUAGGCGGUCCAUCACAGAUCCACUGGAGGUAAGCUUCACAUCAAUCAUAAUCAACAUAAAUAAACAUAGGCAUUCAAGGAUUCAUGCAUAACACAUAUACAUAAUCACCCCUCCUAGAAUACUAGCAUCAUAUGAUUAUUAUCCCCCAUCACAUACAUUCCAAGCUAUCAAAAUACUAACAUAGCAUAGCAACAUAUUCAAUCACUAAUCAAGUCAUCGACAUAAUCUCAUCAUUCAUCAACAACAAUCAAGAAAGGAUUAAUCACAUUAUUCUUCAUUUAGCAUACUAAGCUCAACAAUACAUUUCAUCAUUUCAAAGUUAUAAGCAAGUAAUCAUCAUUAUCAAAGGAAUCAUCACAUCAUAUAUAUGCACAUAUACAAUUCUCACCUCAUCACUGUCACCAAAAUAAUUAUCAUCAAAUACAUUCACCAAGUGUAUAAGCACGAGCAAGUAAGAUAUGCAAUUAAAGCAUAAUUCAAUUAUUCACAACCGUCAACAAAAUCCAUCAAUGUACAUAUACACCAAUUCACAUAUUCAUAACAUUCACCGAAUUCCACCAAUGCACAAAUUCAUCAAGUCACAUAUUCAAUUAUGACACGCCUCAUCAAUUACUAUAAUGCAUGCAAUGUUCUAGACUCUUCUAGAUGCAUGCGGUACCGUCAACAACAACGUCUAGGUCGUCACCCCAGGAUGCCAACUGCACAUCAUAUGUAAGAGUACACCUCCUCUUAUGAACAACUAUGUAAAAGUACACCUCUUUUUACAUUUCUCAUAUGACUAUGAUGCAUGGACAUACAAGCAAAGACUCAAUAAUGCAAAAGCAUACAUUCACCAACAACAAUGUAAAAGUACACCUCCAUUUACAUUGAUCAACUUCAACAACAAUUGCAUUAUCAAUUAUUUACGUCCACACAAUCAAUCAAGUCAUAAUUCAAUUAAGAGUCAUCACCACACCAUCACUUAACAUAUAUGCAUUCACCGAAAAUAUCACACUCAAUUAACAUAUAUAUAUUUUAACGCCCGUUUUGAUUAUUUAAUUAUGUUGUUGAGUUUAGAAUAUAUUUAUAUGAUUUGUGUGAUUUAUGUGAUUUAAUGAGGUGUUGUGACUUAUUUUAUUGUUUAAUAAAAUAAGAUUUGAAAAUAAAAUAAAUAUUGAGUUGAGGGGUUGUUUUGAGAUUUUAGAGAGUUUUGUGGGUAAAAGAGGAAUAAAAUAAAAUAGAUGGGAAGAGAUAUAAAUAGGUGAGGGUUAGGUUUAGAAAAGUUUUUUUAACGUACGAUCAAUUUUGGAGAAAAGGGAUAAAAGUCAAGAGAAGAUAAGAGGACCAAAGAGAGGCUGCGAUUUCGAUUUUCUAAGGUAAGGGUGAGACUAACAUUCAAUCUUAUUAAAUCUGUAAUUCUGAUGGUUGUAUUUAACAAGUGUAGGAUUGUUUUAGAGAAGUUGGAAAUUAGGGUUAAAGUGAGAAAUUGAUGAUUUAUUGAUGUAGAAUUGUAGAAUUGAUGUAGAAAGUGUUUACAGACCUUAGAUAAUCCAUAGGAUGAAAUCUGGAAUCAAUGUUAAGCUUAAAACCAUGCCUUUAGGUGGAUUUUCGUGAAAAUCUGCAUUCUGCCCGAGCCAACAUUCAUCGCUCGCCUCCCGAGUGAUGAUCCUCGCCCUCGCGAGGGAUGAUCUUCAUCGCUCGCCUCGCGAGUAACACCUUGCAACUCGCCAUAGCGAGCAGAUCACUCGCCAUAGCGAGUAUGACCAGUGAGAAACCUGAUUUGUGAGUUAACUCCUUAAGUCGAACUUUAGAUGUUUUUGAGUGCCUGAAUAUGUAUAAUAAUGAUUAGGCAAGUUUUUAGAUUGAGAUUGAACCUACGAAAGUUUAAAAAUGGAUUUUUGGGUGAAAAAUGUCAAAUUCCCGAGAGCACCCAGUUUCUUGUUUGCCAAGGUGAGUCGCUUACUCGCCAAGGCGAAUGCCAUUUUCCUGAACUCGCCAUAGCAAGUAGAGGCUCUCGCCUCGCGAGCCCUUGUGAGACAGAACUCCUUGUUAGGUUAAAUGUGACCUUUAUCGCACGAGUUGAUGUGAGUUGAUCACGGGGGUAAGAAACUAAGUUGCUUAUCUUACUGUUGUUGUUUCAGUGAGCCUGAAUUAUAUGAUUUGAUGUUGUUAAUAAUGUGAUAUAAAUGUAUAUGCAUUACAAGAAUUAUAUAUGAUGUUUGAGAUGUUGUUGAUUUGCAUUUGAUAUUGUUAUAUCAUGAACCGUUUUAUGUACUGCCUAUGUUGUUGUUUGUUUAUUAACUAAGCUGCAUGAGUCGGUCUAAGAUGAAAGAUGUUGUUCCAAAUUAUUGGAUUUAUAUAAGAGGUCGUUUUUUCUAAGAUGUUAAGUUGUUGAGUCCAUGCAUACUCAUUCAUUGUUGGGGGCUUGAUGCCCUGGAGCCUUCGCAGAGUUUUGGCGCUUUCAAAUUGUUGUAUAGUCUUGCCAUUCUUUAAGUCUUCACUCCUUUAUAUAGAGGUGUGAAAGAGACGUUGUGAAUUGCCAACACAUCAAAAUAGAGUCGUUUGAAGCUUUGAUCAAUCACUAAAGAUCUUUUACCUAAUAAGGUUAUUGUCCUAUGAAGGAUCAAUUUCAAAUCCAUUCCCAGUAUGUAGGAACAUUGUUGGAGGCAGAGCUGUUAUCCUUGUCUUGUGGCAGAGACAAAAACUGAGUAGUGGAGAUAGUGGUUGUACAAUUCGUACAAUUGUACUAUGUCAAUGCUCUUCAAAGAACAAGCAUCUAAUGCUUUCAAAUCCUUUCAAAAUAGCUGUUGCUUCACUCCUGCGGUCUUUUGCAAUGCUUGGACGAGAUUGAACCAUUGAACAACCUUUGAAGCUUUAAGUCUUGCAUCUCUUGAUGAACUUCAGCUUCUGGUGAUCUUGCUUCUGAUGAGAUGCUUUUGAUGAACUUGCUUCUAAUAACGUCAUCACUUCAGAAGCACUUUGACUUCAGGCACACUUCUCUUCAGAUGCUUCAAGCUUCCUUUUUGUUGAUUCCUUUGCUCUCUUUUGUUCUUCCAGAACCUAAUAAUGAUAUCAAAAUUUUCUCUAUGGUCAUGUACACUUGAAAAAAUAUUAUUAUAUCUAAUUGACAACUUUUAAUACCUUGUUAUCAUCAAAACUCUCAAAGGGUAAUGUUAAACACAUUUAUUUCCAACAUGGAAUACCACAUCAAAAUCCAAUUUCAUCACUAAAUCCCAAUAUUAAAGCUUCUAAAAUUAAAGCUUAUUAUGAAACUCACCUCAAAUGCAACUUCCAUUUAUACAAGAAGCUUCAAAGCUCUCUGUCUCUUUUAAAGCUACUGCUCAAGCUUCCUUCAAUUCCUUACCUUCAGUUCUUGCUUCUAAACACCAAUAUAAGAUACAACAUGUUGAGGCAAAAUCCCUAAUUAAUUUUAAAGAUAAUAAACCAUUAUGAUUAAAGAAUUAAUGGACUUUGAUUUAUUCAUUGGUAUUUAACUUGUUCUCUUGAGUGUUUUACUAAGACAGGAACAAGGUUUAAAUCAUACUAAGAUUCAAGAAAUCAAAGGACAUUGGAAUUCAUGAUCUAACACUGAUGUCAGAAAGUUAGAUCAGAAUGUUGCUCAGAGAUCAGAAUGUUCAAGCAGAGAUCAGAAAAUUGUUCUUAUACAAGUCAAGAAUCUCAAGAACAUUGAUCAAGAUCAUGCAAGGCACAUGUGAUAUGGAUAAAUUUCCAGGAAGGUACAUUUGCAUGGAUCAAUCAAGCAACAAAGGCAUAUACAAAGAUUAUGUCAAAAAGGAUACUCAAUGUUCAUUUAAGACUAUGAACAUUGAAGUACUGGGAAUAUUCCAAAAGGGAAUAUCAUCCUAGAUGUUGAAGUCACUGCUCUUCAUUGUUGUUUCAUUAUUAGGAUUUGAUUACAUCAAAUGGUAGUCUUACAAAUCAUCCUAAGUGAAACAAAAGGAACAUUCUGAUGGUCAGAAUGUUCAGCUCUGCACAUGCUUACUUUAUGAACAGUACAGUAGGUGAAAAGGCAAAAAGAAAAAACAAAGCAAAUAUGUCCUGUUCAACAACAAAUAGAUACGCAUGAGAGUUGCUACAGUACAUGGACCACACAAUCUCUCAAAGUAUGAGCAUGAAGAUGCAGAAUCCACUUUAUCUCUCCUGCGCCAGUCCCAAGGCAAAUCUGGGAAAAUAACUUUCUGAUGUAUGUGGAAAAGCCCAUACUUUGAUUACUGCCCAGGAAUUCAUAUGAAAAGCAUAUGACACGCCCAGAAAUUCAUGUGUUCAUUCACACAUGAUGAACCCAUAUGAAGAUCAUCAAGAACACAACAACAUUCUGAAGUUCAUCCUUGAUCAGAAUGUUCACCAAGAAUUUCAAGUAAAAGCUUUUGGGACCCACACAUGGCAUAACACCAUUGGACACCCUACAACGGCUAUAUGAGCCCAAAGACUCUAUAAAUAGAGAUCAAAGGCUCAACAUUACUUGCACCAUUGCAAAGCAUACAAGAAAACAACUGAAAUUGUUUGAAGCUCUUGCAAUUGAAUUAAUUAUCACUAAAGGCUUUUUUUACCUUCUUUGUAGUGUAAAUCAAUUCUCUUUGUUAUCUUUGUUAAAGAUAACUUCUUCUUCCUCCUCUUAUGUUUGAUUCUCGAACAUGCAAACCUCUUACAAAUUGUAAACAAAGUCUCAUCUAGCUUUAGGGGUACUAAAGUGUUAGUUUGAGCUUAGUUUGUAAAAGUCUAAGUGGUUAACUUAGCAACAAGGUGCAAACCUGCUGAGGAUUAGAGAAUAGUGAGGAGUGGACUAACCCACAUUGGGUGAACCACUAUAAAUCGCUGUGUGUUCUUUCUCUCUUCCCUAGACUCUUUAAUUACACUUGUACACUUACUUUAUUAAACAGUUUUUUGUGUAUGAACAUUAGAACGUUCUGAAGUCAUAAUAUUAACUUAAAUUAUGUUAACUUGUUUUGAAUUUGUAAUAUCCCGCUUCAUUAUGACAGCAACAUCAGUCUAGAAUACCACAUCAAAAUCCAAUUUCAUCACUAAAUGUCAAUAUUACAAAUUCUAAAAUUAAAGCUUAUUAUGAAACUCACCUCAAAUUCAACUUCCAUUGAUGCCAAAAGCUCUCUGUCUCUUUUAAAGCUUCUGCUCAAACUUCCUUCAAUUCCUUCCCAUCAGUUCUUGCUUCUAAACACCAACAUAAGGUAAAACCAUCAUCAAUAGAUUACAUGCAAGCCAAUUAUCAAGCUCAAGAUAAAACUUUCCAAAACAGCAUGUGAAUGAUGAUGGUACAGCUGGGGAAGAAAAGAAAGCAAUUAAGUUUGUUUUAGGGAUGAAAUAGUGUGAAGAUUGUGAUAGUUUCUUUGCAUGUUGGAUUGAUAUAAGAGAUUGAGUGGAAAUUUUUGAUGUUUGGAUGGGAGAAGUAUGGGGGCCGAGCCAAAAAGAGAGGAGGAGGGAGAGAGAGACUCUGUACGUGAGAGAGAAUUGGAAGGAAAAAGAUAAGAAGAAAAAUGUGGUUUAGCUCUUUUAUAAUCUUUUGAUAAAAUUAUUACCACGAUGCCCUCCUCUUAAGAUGUUUUUCAGUCACAGUUAAAAGGACACUGCAUUCUAUCCGGAAUUAAGCGGGAUAUUACGAAUUCAAAAUAAGUUAACAUAAUUCCCAAUGAAUAAUAAGUCAAUUAAUUCAUAUAUACUAUUCAACAAUGAGAUCUAAAACUUAGAUCCAAAUUUUGUUACGAUGUUUCAAUGUUGUGCACAUAGAAGAAAUUCAAUUUGACUUUUCAUUAGAUUUGAUCUAGUGUAGCCUUUGUGUAAACGAGAAAUUUAUCUUUGAUGCCCUUUUAAAACAUUUUUAUUGAAAUGUGAAAUUCAAUCAAAUCGACGAAAUACCAAAUGCAUUGAGAAAAAUAUACAUUAAUCAUAUACAUUUGAUACUUCGUCGACUGAUUGAAAAUUCACCUCCAACAAAUGACUGAUGAUGGUAACAUACGAUAAGGAUUAAUCUGAUGAGUCACCUUUUUUAGCCCUGAAUAAAAAGAAGAUGGAGAAAAAACAUGGUGACAUAGAUAAAAUAAAAUCUACAUAAUACACAGAUGAAAAACAAAAUUUCUACUAACAUAAAAUACAAGUACCUAGGUAUUUAUAGCAUCAAAUAUUAACUUUUUUUAAUGGUGGAUUUAAGUUUUUAACUUAUUUUAUAUGAAAUUUAUAAAAAAAAAAAUCAAGCUUCUAGAAUGCUAAAAAGGUUUAUAAUAAAUAAUAAUAAUAAUAAUAAUAAAUAUAAAACUAUAAAAUAAAAAUAAAAAUAAAAAUGAAUUGAUAAUACGUUUUUUCUUUAAACUUAUUUGACUAAAAUUUAAGUAUUCUAAUUAUUAAAAAAUUAAAUGUGUUGAAAACCGAAGUCAAAUCAAGACCCAACUCAAGCGGUCAAUGUAUAAAAAAAGAAGUCAACAACAUUUAUUAUAAACAAAAGGAAAUUUAUUUUGCUUAGAUUGGAUUUGAUCGGUUGUCACAGUCAAAAUAAGGUACUAAAAAUUGAUCCUUUAUAAACAAAAGGAAAUUUAUUUUGCUUAGAUUGGAUUUGAUCGGUUGUCACAGUCAAAAUAAGGUACUAAAAAUUGAUCCUUUGCGGCUGCAUUAGGGGGUUCUCGCUCUCCUCCGACGGAAGAACCUCAUUAUUCGGUACCUUGCAUUAAAGGUGAUUCCCUUUCCAUACGAAUAUGCCAGGAUGAAUACGUUAAAGGUCUGGAAGAUUGUCAAUAUGCAUUACGUGGGAGACUAAUCUUGUCUAAAGGCGACAAACCUUACACCGCUCGCGAUUUAGCCUCCAAACUUGGCAAGAUUUGGAAGAUUAUCCAUCAAUGGAAGAUGGUUAAUCUUGGUCAGGGUUUCUACGAUUUUUUAUUUGAAAAUCAUGAUGAUUUUAAUCGGACUUGGACAGCGGGUACAGUUUCACUACAACCAGGGCUCCUUCGCCUCUCCCAAUGGACGAAGGAUUUUAACCACAACGCUCAGACACAAACACACGCCUCUUUAUGGAUCAAACUUGUAGUGUUGCCUCAGGAGUAUUGGCGCGAAAGAACAUUGAAAGAAAUUGCGAGUGCGGUGGGUACCCCUAUUUCUAUUGAUGGACCGACACGUAAUAGAGCUUUCGGACACUAUGCACUCAUUCUUGUGGACAUUGACUUAUCGAAGCGGGUUUAUGAUGAAAUCCUUGUUGAACGGGAGGGGUUUGCUUUUAACGUAGAAGUGCAAUAUGAAAGACGCCCUUUGUUCUAUCAUUGGACAUAAUGUCAUGAAUUGUAAGAGGUUGUCAAGGUCCCUGACCGUGGGAAGAAGCAGGUUACUGAUGCAGCUAGCAAUCCACCGCUUGUUGGGAAGGGAGCUUCUUCAUCAGGCACACUAUGUUAUGUUCCCUUACCAACAGCUGCUGAGACACAUGUUGUUGUUCCCACACCAACAGCUCAUGCACACGCUGUUGUCCCCCCACCAACAGCUGAGACAUGUGCUAUUGUUUGUAACGCCCUAUUUAAUUAUUAGAUUAUUUUAUUGAGUUUAGAGUCUAUUUAUAUGAUUUAUGUGAUUAAAAUGAUUAUGUGGUGUGUUGUUAUUUUAUUAAGUGGUGUUAUUUUAUUAUUUAAUACAAUAAGAUUUGAAAUUAAAAUAAUAUUGAGAUGAGAGGCUGUUUUGAGAAUUUAGAGAGUUUAGUGGAAUAAGUGGAAAUAAGAUAAAGAGGGUUGAGGAAAUAAAUAGGAGAAAACCUAAGUCAGAAUAGUUUUCACGUGAAACAAAACGUUUUGGAGAAAAAGGGAGAAAACAAGAGAAGAGAAGAACCGGAGAGAUCGUAGAGCUUCGUUCAUCUAAAUUAAGGUAAAGGUGAGGCUAAAUCUCAAUAAUCAUAGUGUAUGUGAAUUCUGAAAUUGAUUUAACAUGUGGUUGUUUAUGAAUUUUGGAAUUAGGGUUAGAAUGUAGAAUUGAAUUGUGGAAAGAAGUAGAUAAUCUGAUGGAUGUGCAUUAAGUAUUCUAAGUAUUAAAAAAUUAAAUGUGUUGGGGGUUUAUGCUCCGGAAUGCUUAGUCAUUCAAACACGUUAAAAUGGUACCACAUGCAUGUGCAUUGACGCAUUUGUCGUUGUGUCGUUGCAUAGUCGUUGUUGUUGGUUGAGUUGUAGUCGUUGUUGUUGGUUGAGUUGUUGUCGUUGUUGUUGUCGUUGUUGUUGGUUGAGUUUGUAGGUGUUGUUAAUAUUGAUGAAGUAUGAAACAAGACUAUUGAAUUAUCCGUUGUUAAUUAGGUUGUUAAAUACAGUUGAUGAUUUAUAUACCUAUUAUUAUUGUUUGUGAAUCUCACCCCUUCUGCUUGAAAAUGUUGCCCUUCGUAUGGGUAACUUGCAGGUGAUCGAGGAUAGUUGCUGUUAGUUGUUGUUAGUUGCUGUCGUGAGUGGACCUCCUCUCACGUGUGUCUUAGGUGCUCUGAUAUGUAACGGGAUGAGAAAUAUUGUCGUUGUAUUCAUCAUUCCUUAUGUAUCAUUAUGAACCUGUUGGUGUUGGAUUAAAUCCUUAAAGAUAAUUAUGUUGAGGCCAUGUGCCAAAUUUAUUGAAAGUUGUUUAAUGUUGAAAAUAAUUCCGCUGCGAUGAAUUGAUAUGUUUUACCAAAGUUAUUAUUUAAUAAAUAUGAUUUUAUUCUAUUUAUGAAUUUUUGAAAAGCAGUGUGACAUUCCGUUUGUUGAUUAACUCUGAUUUUACUUAAUAUUUACGUUGUUGGGUUAAUGGGGUGUUACAUUGUUCCCCCAACAGCAGCUGCCAUCCCCAAUAAUAUUGCAACAUCUGUUGUCCCUCCACCAUCAGCUGCAGCCGGUGAGGCAGCAGGUACCACUUGUAGCAACUUGCAAGGUUUUUCUGAACCUAUUCCUCAAGGUAAUCUACCUCGGCCUAAUACACAUGUUUUGGAGCUAGCAGAAUCUGUGAUGAAUGAUGAUGUGCAACGUUCAUCCGAGACACUUCCGGUUAAUCAAAAUAAUAUUUAUGUUGAACACGGCGAAGAACAGGAUGAUGAUGAUGACAUUGAUUUUUUUAUUGAUGAAGAUGGUAUUGCAACAGCUGCACCGAAGACUACUACUACUUCCAUCCCUCUGGUUUUGGCAGCAGUCCCAGUACCUGAUCCUUUGGUGGCUGCCUCGACGGUGGGCUCUCAGGAUGAUAACGCUUUAUCCAUUGCCGUCCCGGAGAAACACAACAAUGAUAGAGUUCAACAUGAUAUGGAACUUUGUGAAAAAGAGUAUGAUAUGCAGGUUGAAGCUCUUUCUGGGUCACGCCCUUCCUUGGCGUCACCGGUUGUUGUAGAGAGGUCUCUUGAAGCUAGCGCUAGCAUGACAAUACCAGAAGCUCAAGAGGUUGUAGUUUUACAACAACAACAUGUACAUCCCAUCAAGAACAUUCAACACGGCCUAGAUCUAUGGGACAGAGUUCGUGAAUAUGAUGCAAGGUCAGCUGCAGAAGAUUUCACACCGGUCCUUACAAGGAAGCAGAAAUAGAAAAUUAAAGUGCAACAAGUCUUGGCUAAGCAGCCCCCUAAAACCCGUGCCCGGGGUGAUAAUCAUCAGACUGCUCAAUGAAUUUCCUCCAUUGGAAUGUUAGAGGUAUCAGUAAUUAUGAUACUCGGAUUGCUUUAAAAAUUUAUACAUGUCUCAAAAAACUGUUCUGAUUUUUAUUGAGGACCUAGCAUGGGUCACUCAGUGCAAAGAACGGUUUGACUAUCUUCUCUCCCUAAUGAGUGAUUUCUUUAGGGAUAGAUGUGGUUUACCCAACGACAUAUUUCCAUAAUUUGUUUUACGGUGUUUUUUGUUGAUUCCUUUAUUCUUGCUUUCUGUUUUUUCUCUAGAGGGUUUUGGUCUAGUCCCCCCUCCUUUGUAUUUAUUUUCCCCCUUUUUUUAAUAAAUUUUUUAGAGUUUGGCAGCAUAGGAUGGAGAUUUCUCACGGUGCCAACCAAGUUGGGAUGUCGAUGUUGCCUCUUGAUGUCUGUCCAUUCUCCUUGCUUAUAAAAAAAUUAUUAAAAAAUUAAAUGUGUUGAAAACCGAAGUCAAAUCAAGACCCAACCAAGCGUCAAUGUAUAAAAAAAUGAAGUCAACAACAUUUAUUAUAAACAAAAGGAAAUUUAUUUUGCUUAGAUUGGAUUUGAUCAGUUGUCACAGUCAAAACUAAAAAUUGAUCGAGUCUAUUUAAGAAAAUAAGGUUUUUAUUUUAUUUUUAUAUUUUCGUCCGGUUGGUGAACUUUGCAAUGGAUGUGAGAAAUCAUAUUUUAAGGCAUCUAACUAAAGACCUCCUAUUAGCGAGUAUUCUUGUACGCAUUGUACUCAAUUCCAUAUUAAACAUGCCACGAACAAUCCAAAUAAAUGGACCGAUGAAUCUAUACCAGAAAUAGAUUAUAUCUAUUCAUGUUAUAAUUUAAGAUUUCACUAGGUAAUUUUGAUUGCAUUAUAACUAUAAGCCUUUGAUUUUUUAAUACAUGAAUUGAUUGCGGAAACAUUACAACUAUUUAAUUUGACUAUAUGCUUUGUUAUCUUAUUUUUGUCAAAAAAAUUAAAUUUAAACUCAUAUCAUAAAAUAAUGAAUGCAACUUGAUAAUAUAUAUUACAAUCACAAAAACUUAAAUAUUAUUCCAUAAACCGAAGACUUAACAUAAUUAGCUUUAGUAAAAAAUCUACUCUCGAAACUCUCUUUUACACGUAAAUAAGCAUUAGGUAAAAAAAAAUUGCUUUUGGUUUUUACUGUUUUUUUUUCUACAUGUGUUCGACAAUAUUUUUUUUUUCUAAGCCAGGAUAUUGGACAGGCAUCAACGGGAAGCAACGACAUCCCAACUAAGUGGCACCCCGCAGAACCCCCAUCCUAUACCACCAAUCUCAGAGAAAAUUUUGUUAAAAAAGGGGGAACUUUAAUUAACUUUUUCCCGAUUCACAUUUCUUAAAUUAACUCAAUUCUUGCAUCCAUUGUUCGUUUUUUCCCAUUAAGCACUUCUGAUUCAUUCCAAAACAGCUCAUUCAUCAAAAACUAUGCCAAAACCUGUAAGCAGCUUUCUGCAGAAUUUACCAAACUUCAAAUGCGUUUUUCGAAUCCAUUUCUAAUCAGAAUCAUACCAAAUCUAUAUCCAAACUGAAGGGAAUCAAAUGUAGAAAUAAAAAAUUCAACAAUUAUACAAGUAUGGGUUACACAUCUAAAUUUAAAGCUUAUUAUGAAACUCACCUCUAAUACAACUUCCAUUGAUACCAAAAACUUCAAAGCUGUCUGUCUCUUUUAAAGCUUCUGCUCAAACUUCCUUCUAUUCCUUCCCAUCAGUUCUUUCUUCUAAACACCAACAUAUACAACCAUCAUCAAUAGAUUACAUGCAAGCCAUUUAUCAAGCUGAAGAUAAAACUUUCCAAAACAACAUGUGAAGGAUGAUGGUACGGCCGGGGAAGAAAAGAAAGCAAUUAAGUUUGUUUUAGGGAUGAAAUAGUGUGAGGAUUGUGAUAGUUUCUUUGCAUGUUGGAUUGAUAUAAGAGAUUGAGUGGAAAUUUUUGAAGUUUGGACGGGAGAACUAUGGGGGCCGAGCCAAAAAGAGAGGAGGAGGGAGAGAGAGACUAUGUACGUGAGAGAGAAUUGGAAGGAAAAAGAUAAGAAGAAAAAUGUGGUUUAGCUCUUUUAUAAUCUUUUGAUAAAAUUAUUACCACAAUGCCCUCCUCUUAAGAUGUUGUUCAGUCACAGUUAAAAGGACACUGCAUUCUAUCCGGAAUUAAGCGGGAUAUUACGAAUUCAAAAUAAGUUAACAUAAUUCCCAAUGAAUAGUAAGUCAAUAAAUUCAUAUAUACUAUUCAACAAUGAUAACUAAAACUUAGAUCCAAAUUUCGUUACGAUGUUGCAAUGAUGUGAACAUAGAAGAAAUUUGAUUUGACUUCUCAUUAGGUUUGACCUAGUGUAGCCUUUGUGUAAACGAGGUUUGACCUAGUGUAGCCUUUGUGUAAACGAGAAAUUUAUCUUUGAUGGCCUUUUAAAACAUUGUUAUUGAAAUGUGAAAUUCAAUCAAAUCGACGAAAUACCAAAUGCAUUGAGAAAAAUAUACAUCAAUCAUAUACAUUUGGUACUUCGUCGACUGAUUGAAAAUUCACCUCCAACAAAUGACUGAUGAUGGUAACAUACGAUAAGGAUUAAUCUGAUGAGGCACCUUUUUUAGCCCUGAAUAAAAAGAAGAUGGAGAAAAAACAUGGUGACAUAGAUAAAAUAAAAUCUACAUAAUACGCAGAUGAAAAACAAAAUUUCUACUAACAUAAUAUACAAGUGCCUCCAUGAAUUUAAACAAGUACCUAGGUAUUUAUAGCAUCAAAUAUUAACUUUUUUUAAUGGUGGAUUUAAGUUUUUAACUUAAUUUAUACGGAAUUUAUAAAAAAAAAUUCAAGCUUCUAGAAUGCUAAAAAGGUUGAUAAUAAAUAAUAAUAAUAAUAAUAAAUAUAAAACUAUAAAAUAAAAAUAAAAAUAAAAAUGAAUUGAUAAUAUGUUUUUUCUUUAAACUUAUUUGACUAAAAUUUAAGUAUUCUAAUUAUUAAAAAAUUAAAUGUGUUGAAAACCGAAGUCAAAUCAAGACUAAUUUGAUCCUAAAAUUCUCUCUCUUGACAAGAAUAAUAAAGUCAUUGUGGAAUAAAAGAAUCAAAUUAAUUUUGGGUUCAAAGUUUUAUUUUUGUAGGUCAUGAUAUGUAUGUCUUGUUUUGGCUAUAUCUGGAGCUCUGGAUGUCCGUUUGAGGUGAUCUUUAACUCAUUGGAAAGCUUACGGAAUUCUCUACAUUUCGUCUGUUUGACUCAGGAGCUAUUCAAGCUAUAAAUUCAAGGUCGAAUUCUCUUGAGGAGGGAGAGUAUGAUGUGAUCCUAAAUUUCUCUCUCUUGACAAGAAUAAUAAAGUCAUUAUGGAAUAAAAGAACCAAAUUAAUUUCGCCUUGAGGAAUCGCCACAAUGGUAAGGAAUCCAUUGAUAAGAUUCGAUAAACUUGGUUCAAUCUAGAACCAAAAAGAAGCAAAGCUUCACAACACACAAAGUGUAUUUUUUUUUAUCAAAAUUCAACUUGUCCCCUUCAUUAUUUCCGCCCCCUUUAUAUAGGAAAUAAACUUGAAUGCUAAAAAGCUUACAAUCAUAGCAUAAUUUGUGUUAUAACUCCUUGGUGGCUAGUUAUUACAAAAGAGGUUACAAUUUAAUUGGAUCUUUAAAGUUGGUGGCUGAUCAAUGCAUGAGAAGGUUACAUAUUCAUUUUCACAUUGAUUUGUGAAGGCUUAUUAUGUCUAGACGUUACAAUUCCACAAACACCACCUUUAAUUCUUCAGCUAACACACUUUAACCACGUCUUCUACUUAUAGCUCAUUCUACACCACUAAAUAUUCCGAAUUUGCUUUUGAGUCAAACAGACGAAAUGUAGAAAAUUUCGUAAGCUUUCCAAUGAGUUAAAGAUCACCUCAAACGGACAUCUAGAGCUCCAGAUAUAGCCAAAACAAGACAGACAUAUCAUGACUUACGAAAAUAAACUUUGGACCCAAAAUUAAUUUGGUUCUUUUAUUCCACAAUGACUUUAUUAUUCUUGUCAAGAGAGAGAAUUUUAGGAUCACACCAAAGACCCAACUCAAGCGGUCAAUGUAUAAAAAAAGCAGUCAACAACAUUUAUUAUAAACAAAAGGAAAUUUAUUUUGCUUAGAUUGGAUUUGAUCAGUCGUCACAGUCAAAACUAAAAAUUGAUUGAAUCUAUUUAAGAAAAUAAGGUUUUUAUUUUAUUUUUAUAUUUUCGUCCGGUUGGUGAACUUUGCAAUGGAUGUGAGAAAUCAUAUUUUAAGGCAUCUAACUAAAGACCUCCUAUUAGCGAGUAUUCUUGUACGCAUUGUACUCAAUUCCAUAUUAAACAUGCCACGAACAAUCCAAAUAAAUGGACCGAUGAAUCUAUACCAGAAAUAGAUUAUAUCUAUUCAUGUUAUAAUUUAAGAUUUCACUAGGUAAUUUUGAUUGCAUUAUAACUAUAAGCCUUUGAUUUUUUAAUACAUGAAUUGAUUGCGGAAACAUUACAACUAUUUAAUUUGACAAUAUGCUUUGUGAUCUUAUUUUUGUUAAAAAAAAUAAAUUUAAACUCAUAUCAUAAAAUAAUGAAUGCAACUUGAUAAUAUAUAUUACAAUCGCAAAAAUUUAAAUAUUAUUCCAUAAACCGAAGACUUAACAUAAUUAGCUUUAGUAAAAAAUCUACUCUCGAAACACUAUUUCACACGUAAAUAAGCAUUAGGUAAAAAAAAAAAUUGCUUUUGGUUUUUACUGAUUUUUUUUCUACAUGUGUUCGACAAUAUUUUUUUUUUUCUAAGCUAGGAGAUUGGACAGGCAUCAAAAAGAAGCAACGGCAUCCCAACUAGAUGGCACCCCGCAGAACCCCCAUCCUAUACCACCAAUCUCAGAGAAAAUUUUAUUAAAAAAGAGGGAACUUUAAUUAGCUUUUCCCCGAUUCACAUUUCUUCAAUGAACUCAAUUCUUGCAUCCAUUGUUUGUUUUUUCCCAUUAAGCACUUCUGAUUCAUUCCAAAAUAGCUCAUUCAUCAAAAACUAUGCCAAAUCCUGUAAGCAGCUUUCUACAGAAUUUACCAAACUUCAAAUGCGUUUUUCGAAUCCGUUUCUAAUCCGAAUCAUACCAAAUCUAUAUCCAAACUGAAGGGAAUCAAAUAUAGAAAUAAAAAAAUUCAACAAUUAUACAAGUAUGGGUUACACAUCUAAAAUUAAAGCUUAUUAUGAAACUCACCUUAAAUGCAACUUCCAUUGAUGCCAAAAGCUUCAAAGUUGUCUGUCUCUUUUAAAGCUUCUGCUCAAACUUCUUUCAAUUCCUCCCAUCAGUUCUUGCUUCUAAACACCAACAUAAGGUAAAACCAUCAUCAAUAGAUUACAUGCAAGCCAAUUAUCAAAGCUUCUUGAAAUUAAAGCUUCUUGAAAUUCUGGCACGUUAGACUUACGAUGUUAUGUGCGAUGUUUCAACACAAGUUAUACAGAAACAAAUGUUGAAUAAAAUGUUUCGAACACUAAGCUACCACAAGACAAGAAAAAAAAUUCAAAGCAUAAAGUAAAAGGCACAGAGAGUUUGUUAACCCAGUUCGGUGCAACGUCACCUACUCUGGGGGAUACCAAGCCAGGAAGGAAAUCCACUAGUGUAGUUCGUAUUCAAUAGCUCUAAGCAAACUCCUCGUUUGCACUAAUGACCUAGGACCUACCCAUACUGACUUCAACCUAGGAACUUCUAGAUCUGAGAUCCCAUCUCAGUCCCUUACAACUGAUCACAGCCCCUUUGAUACUCAAAUAACAAAUACAAUCAAUAUGAAGUUACCUUCAAACAAAACAACUAAACACCGUACUUCACAGCUUAGGUGCAGUUUACAAACUACCUAACUCUUUGCUUAAAAGCUUCAGAGUAGUGCACAAUUUACAACUCAAACACAGUCCUAAACAUGCAUCAAGAUGAUACACGAAAGGCUCACAUAGACAGACUCAAAACCCUAGAUGAUCUAUUCUUCAAAUGACGGCUUGAAUCAUUCUCUAGGUCUUCCAGUCUUGUUUAAAUACUGAAGCAAUACGAGUCAGUAAACUUGUUGGGCUACAGAACAAUCCAGUGAUCCAUUUCAGGUACAACAGAACCAGAAAAGGAAACUCCUAAUAUGUAGACACAUAAUUAGGAACAUCCUGAUCACCUCCAAACUUUCCUAAGUAGAUAACACAAUCUUAGGAAAUCACAAACGAUCUGAUCCUGUGCUAAAAACACGCAGCUUGGCCAACAAGAAUAAAGGGGUGGAUUCCUUAAAUAAAAUAGCGCGUGCGAAAAACAAGGCAAGGUACAAGUCAACUGAACCAUGCCAUGAUGUUGACACAUCUUGUUCAACAUCUCACAUGAAUAUUUGUUUUAGGCAAAAGUGAAGCCAAUAUACAAAUAUCCAAGAAUCUCCCCCUUUGGCAAAUUUUUGGCUAAAACAAACUAAGGCCAGUCCAAUCAAAGUUGAGAGAUAACACGCAACCUUUUCUUCAAUCAUCACACAUAAUCAACCAUGAAGAAAGGUACACAUACUCAAAUUACCGAUAUAUACCACAAAAUAUAAAUCUUCAGUCACUUCAUAAUCUUCAGAAGUUGGAAGAGGUAUAUCACAGGUCUCAGAAUCUACUUUCAUAAUUUUUCACAAAUAAUCAUCAUAUGAAACAGUAGAUAAGAGAAAUAGGUACCAUACUAUAAAAUCAAAGCCUUGCACCAACGGAAACACAAGGAAAAAUAAAUUCUCAUUAAACAUGCAGAAGCUACCUAGAAUGUUCUAACCUUCCAUAAAACAUUCACAGAUACUGGAAAAAAUAAAUUUCCAUAUACACUUGCAACUGCAGAACAUUCACAGAAUCAAUCCCCCUCAAAGAUGCAACCAUUGAGUGAUUACUGACACAAACACUCCCCCUGAAUACAUGCAUAUAUAAACAGAAGCCUUCGAAGCUGACAGAUAUAACUUCUACUAGCACAUUAUAAGAACAGGCAUGCAUAAAAAAGAACACCAAAUCAGGAGUUCUUCAAACACAGGCACACAUUGCAGAGAUGUGUUCCAACAUCACCUGACACAUUAUCUGCUAAACAACUACCUGCUAAACAUACUCAGGCAUACAGGUACAAACACCCAAAGGUAUGCAGAGAUCAUCAUAGAACAUAGAACCAUACUAGCAUCUUCUUUUACUCCCCCUUUUUAGCCAUAAAAUGUGCUAGAAUAAGAACUUGAAACCAAACAGAGAUUACCAGAUUCUAGUAAGAAGAAGUCUUCAAAUUAAAAGUUGUUCAGAAUCAUAAGAGAACCAAAAAAUAAAAAUGCAGAAAUUAUAUGGUUACAGACCACAACACUUAAAGUGCUCAAAUUAUCCAGGGCAUAGCCCACAAAACACACAAAAGAGAAAAAGAACAGAAAGAAAAAAAAAAUCAUUCUUCUGCCUCAGAGCUGCUCCCAGAUUCUUCCUCUUCACCUUUUUUGGUCAAAUCUUCAUUAGCAUCCUCACCCUCAUCAUCAGGAUCAUCUUCAUCUUCAACUUCCCUUUCACUUUCAGCCUCUUCAAACUCCUUUUCACUCUCUGCCUCUUCAACAGCGCUAUCAACAGCCUUUUUCUCCAUAGCAAGAAUCAUAAGGUCAAUCUGAGUCUUCCUCUCACCCAGGAUCACACUUGUAGCCUUUAAACCAACAAUGAUUUGUUUGUCAGACAUAUUACCUGCAUUAGGAGUAGGCACAGAUGUUCCAACCAGAUCUGGAGCAUGACUGUCUCCAAACAGUUUCUGAUGGAAAGUAAGGGGAAAAUCCCUUUUCAUGGGCAAAUCAGCAGCAGAGAUGAUAUUAGGGUGUUGACUGUUUGACAUCAUCAAUCUUAGCAUGCCUCAUGGUCUGAUCAAAAACAUACCUCCUAAUGCCCAUCUUAGUCUUAGUUCCUACAACAAAAAAAAAUCUAGCCAAACCUGUUGCUAUAUCUGAAGAGUGAGUAGUAGGAACCCAAUUGGCAACACCAAUUCUGUUAAGAAUCGCAUACUUCAAGCUCAGCUUUCCGGAGGAAAUCUUUCCUUUCUUUGGCCAAACUUGCACCUUAUUGGCUGUGAUCUCUUUGCAAAUCUGAUUAUAUGUAGCUUCCACCUCAGCAGCUCCUCCUUCAAUACCUAGAAAAUUAUAGAUGAUGUUGGGGGAGAAGUUGACACAUUCUCCUCUAACGUACACUUUUUGAUAAUUUCUCCUAAGAGGAUUAUCAUAGUCCAUGGGAAUGUUCACCAAGAAUUCUCUAACCAGCUUUUCAUAGCACUCUCCUAACUUGCACACAGUCUUCUCCAGACCAGCCUCUCUGAUUAAACUCAUAACCUCCUCAAUUUUCAACACUUCUUCACUUAAUUCUCUUUCCAAAGCGAGCCUUCUGUGGUAAAUGAAUUUCCACCUCUAAGCAAAGCUUGGAAGAUGAAAGGAUACUUUGUCAAUGGGAACAUCUUCCACAAUCUGCAGAUCUUUCUUCCCAGCAGCUUUCUUGGAUUCUGAGGGAGUGAUGUUUAGCACAUCCAGCUCAGCAUCAUAUUCUGACUCACUUGAAGAGACAACCUUUCUCUUCCUAGAGCUACCAGCACCACUUUUCACCAUCACCUUACUCCAGUUCUUCUUGGGACCAAUACCAGCCGUUUUUGUCUUGCUUUUUGGGGUUUCAUCUACAGUGAUAGUUGUCCUCUUAGAGGAUUGGCUAGUGGCAGGGACAGCUUCCCUUGUUGCUUCUGAGUCUCUUGUUCACACUGUCUCCAAGAGUCUGUACCAGGGGAACAUCAUCCAAUUCAAGAUCAUCGACAUCCACUAUAACACCCUAUUUCUAUUAAAGCGAUAAAACUCGCGAAUAAAGCAUAUAUUCAAUAAAUAGACGCUACGUCAUCAUACAAAAUUCAAAUUCAUCAUGCAAGCAUAAAAAUCUCAACAGUCGCAGCGGAUAUAUAAACCAUAUACUUCGAAGCAUACAUGACAUACAAACAAAAAUACAUCAACAUAAAUGUUCUCCAAGUCCCGACAAAAGGGUAAAUCUCCAACAUGAAUAAAUCCAACAAAUAAUCUAGACCAACAUAACAGACACCUAGAUCAGAGCCUAUCCUAGACCCUACAAAACCGAUACCGGAGAUAGCUCCCGAUAUCCAACCAAGCAUCAAUCAACUCACCGGAGCAACUAAUCCAGCACAGUGUCUACCCAUUCAUACAGACAGGUAGGCGGUCAAAACCACUGGGGUAAGUAUUACAUCAAUCAUAAUCCACAUAACAGUUAAUCAUGAAUAAUUCAAUUCCAAGUACUUAGCAUAAACAAUUAAUUCAAUGUGUGCAUUUACAUAGCAUUUCAAAAUAAUACAACCAAGUAUCCACCAAGCACAUUUAUCAACAAUUCAUAUCAUUCACAAUCUCAUCAUAACUUCAACAAAUAUUCAUUCACAAACUUCAACAAUUAUCAUUCACAUGCAACAAAUCAACUCAUGUUAAUUAUGCAAUGCGCCUAACACCGACGCCUACAUGCAUGUGGUACCAAGCACAACAACGUCUAGGCCGUUACCCCAUGAUGUCAACUGCACAUCAUUUGUAAGAAUACACCUCCUCUUACACACAACUAUGUAAAAGUACACCUCCUUUUACAUUUCACAUAUGACAAUGAUGCAUGGACAUAGCAAAGACCAAAUAAUGCAACUCCACAACUCACAACAACAUAAUGUAAAAGUACACCUCCAAUUACAUUGUACAACUUCAACAACAAUUGCAUUAUCAAACAUUCACAUCCACACAACCAACAUGUCAUAAUUCAAUUAAGAGUCACCACCAAAAUAUCAACACACAUUCAUUAAUCAACUACUUCAUAUAGUUUCACCAAUCCAAUUGUCUCAUAUUCCAAGUAAGAGAACAUACAACAUCUCAUGAUCAUAUCAUAUCAACAUGUCACAAUUCAUUCAUACAUCUUCAUUUAGUCAAAUGAAGCUAGUCACAAAAGGUCAUAAGAUAAUUGACUUAAAGGAAUCUUUUCCGACAAAACCGUAUCAAGUGGCAAACGGCCAACAUCGAUAACUCUCAAAGUUAGGUAACGAUAUAAAGUUUAAAAACUCACCAAACAAUCUUAAUCAAGAGCUUAAGCCGAUUACAAACUAUUAGACAUUAGUUCAAAGACUAGCUUAAGUUCGUAUGAUAAAACCCAAGUUAACAUUUUUCACAUUGCCAUACGAAAUUCACGUUUAACAUGAUUAAGAUGUUUGACCAACAUUACAAGCCUUACCUAAGUCUAUAUGAGCUGUAGGUUUAACUUGUAAUCUCAUUCAUUUCAUAAAAGUUCAAUUCAUCAAAAUCCGAAAUUCCCAAAAAUAUGCAAGUUUCAACCCAAAAUGGAAAAUCCCAAGUUUGAAUGAGCUAAACAUGUUCCAGUAGGUUUAGAGGUUCAAACAGAGAUUAAACAAGUUGAAAGGAUCAUUUUACAAAGCUCGGAUUGACCCCCUAAAUCCCAGAACAAAAAUCAAAAGUGGCUGAAUCUGGGCAGGUUCGCUUAAGCGACCACUUCGCUUAAGCGAAGAAGUUCCAGUAGCUACCUGUAAUGUACACUUACUGAUCGAUUACCGUUCGCUUACCUGUUCGCUAAAGCGAACACCUGGUUUGCUUAAGCGAACAAGUUCCAGUAGCUAUUAGUAAUGUACGCUUACCGGUCGCUCACAGGUUCGCUUAAGCGACAUGUUUCCAGAACUUGCUAUGAUGGUUCGCUUAAGCGAACAGUCAUAGUUCUGCAGAAAAAUAUUACGGGUUUCAACCCCUUUUCACCCAAAACCCCCAAUUUUGAUCUUCCAAUGCCCAAAUGUGUUUCCAGAGGUUGUUUACAGGUCAUUAUAACUAAAUUGAUUCACAAGAACACAACCAACAUGAAAACCAAUGACAUUUGAACCAAUUCACCAAUUUUGCAAAACUACCAACAACAACUCAUUUCUCAUCCUCAAGUCAUGAAUUAUGAAUACCCAAGCCAUGAAUCAUCAACAACAACAUCACUCAACAAUUUGAGCAUAAUUCAACAUAUAUCACUUUCUCAUACUUUGAACAUGAAAUUUCACCAACAACAAUUCAAUUAUCAACAACUUCAUGCAUUUAAACAUAUCAUCAUAAUUGGAGCACGAAUUCUAACAAUUAUGAACAAUUAUUCAAUUAUUCAAUUAAGCACUUAAUCAUACAACAAUUGAAAAUUUACACUAAAAAUGAUUAUGAUUGAAUUCUAACCCCCUUACCUUAAUUAUCACCAAUUCCUAACCCAAGCUUCACUUUAGCUCCUAGGAUCUCUCCAAUUCUUGAAUCUUCAAGCUCUUCUUCUCUCUAAACCUUUUUCCUCUUUUCCUUCACUUUCUCUCUCUACCUCUCUCAAAAUAUCUUAUGUAAUGAAAAAUGAGUGAUAUUUUAUCUUAAGACAAGUCUUAUAUAGUCUAUUUUCCUAAUGGGCUUAACCCUAAACCUUAGUGGACUUAACCCACUCCAACUCAAUUCUAAAAUGUUUCUACACUCACAACGGUAAAAUACUAUUAAUGAUCACUCAACGGUAAAAUACUAGCAACGGUCACUUAAUGGUAAAAUACUAAUUAUUACCCUAGUAACUUAGUAAAAUAAUGGUUCUCACUAAACGCUAAAAAUAAUUCUCACCAAAAUUAGUAAUUUUACCCCUCUAGCACGAAACCCAUGAAAAUGCACCCAGUGAUGAAUAAUCACACACAAGCACAAAUAAACACAAUAAAAUAAUUAAAAAUAAUUCUAACGGAAAUCGGGCUGUUACAUCCACCACUUCUUUAUCACUCUUUUUACCAUCUGAAUCUACUUCUUCAACAUCUUUUUCAAAGUCACCACCAGAUCUACCUCUUUCAUCAGUAUGGGAGUCCUUAACCGAGUUAUCAAGAUUCUCAUCCUCCUCUAGGUCAGUCUGAACACUUGGUUCCUUUUUCUCACUAACAAUAUCUUCCACACCAGCAGGUUUAACAGGUUGGCCCAAGGAUGUGCCAACAUUCGGUCCAACAUCAACUUGAACAUCAGUUUCUUUUGGAGUAUUUUCUAUAGAUUCAUCGGCCCUAGUGUCAACAGCAGGGUUACUCACAUCCAUGUUCUCAUUACUUUCUAUGGCAUCAUUCAAUACUUCUAACCCUAGUUUUCUACCAGAUAUAGGUUCUUUAGAAAUUAGGGUUGAAUCAAGAUUACCUUUUUAAUCCCCAAGGGUUGCAGCAUCCGAAGCCACUUUGGGUGUAUUUCCAUCAUCAUCAGCACUUUGAGAAGUGGAACCUUCCUCGAUAGCUUUAAAAGAAUUCUCCUUUUUGUAGAGAUCCGUCAUGGACAGGGCUACUCUCGAAUCGCCUUUCUUCAGAGUCUUAUUCUUUGGAGAAGGCUUAACAACAUUUUUCUUUUUGGAUUUUAAAGGGGGAACAACGGUGAGAGGUUUAAACUUCUUUGGAACAGAGGAAUCAGUUUCUCGUUGUUCGGUCGUGUUCUUAUCAACAAAAACAGAAGGGUCGUUUUUGAACUUGAUGAUGAUGUGAUGUUGAUGAUAACGUUUGUGAGGAUGAAGCUUUUGAGGAUUGGUUGCAAAAAUAAGGAGGUGAACAUUUUUUAGAAGUUCAGAGAAAUAGAAAGUGAGACAAGGGUUAAGCAAUGUAUGAUUGCGGUUAGUUAGGAGAAGAGAAAUAAUUCGAACCAAAUAGCCUGAAUUAGUGUGCCCCAGUAAACGGUAAGAUACGCAUAAAGUCCUUGCACGCCUUCUUGAAAAAAGAAGAAAAAGCCAACACAAUUCAACCCCCCUUCUUGUGUUUUUCUCACCUUCAAUUGGUAUCAGAGCUUUGAUCUGUUGUCAAAACACUUAACAUUGUAACAGAAAAAGAUCUGAGAAAAACAUGUCUGGUGCGAAACCUGAAUCCAGUACGAGAAAUGCUAUUCCAUAUGAUUAUGGUAGCAACAAGAAAUCUGACUAUGGAAAAGUUCCAAAGUUCAAUGGAGAUCCUGAAGAAUUUUCCUGGUGGAAGACCAACUUCUAUAGUCAUGUCAUGGGUUUAGAUGAAGAUCUAUGGGACAUACUAGAAGAUGGUAUUGGUGACUUAGUCGUUGAUGAAGAAGGAGCUUCUAUUGAUAGAAGAAAACAUACUCCUGCUCAGAAGAAAUUCUACAAGAAGCAUCACACAAUCAGAGGAGCACCUGUCAAAGCUAUACCUAAAGCAGAGUAUAUGAAGAUGAGUGACAAAUCCACUGCUAAGUCAAUGUUUCCUUCUCUUUGUGCUAACUAUGAAGGUAGUAAGAAAGUCAAAGAAGCAAAAGCUCUGAUGCUUGUUCAUCAGUAUGAGUUGUUCAAAAUGAAAGAUGAUGAAAGUAUUGAGCAAAUGUACUCAAGAUUUCAUACUCUAGUUUCUGAACUUUAAAUACUGAAGAAAAGCUAUGUAGCCUCUGAUCAUGUGAGAAAGAUACUUAGAAGCUUACCUGCAAGAUGGAGACCAAAGGUGACUGCUAUUGAGGAAGCUAAAGAUUUAAACACUUUAAGUGUUGAAGAUCUUGUCAGCUCUCUCAAAGUUCAUGAGAUAAGUCUUAAUGAACAUGAACCUUCUAAAAAGAGUAAAUCCAUUGCUCUACCAUCAAAAGGGAAGUCAUCAAAAGCUCUUAAAGUUGUUGAAUAUGAAGAAGAAUCACCCGAUGAAGAUCCUGAUGAAGAUCAUAUAGAGAAGAUGGCUAUGCUUUCCAAUAAGCUUGAGUAUAUGGCAAAGAAGAACAAGAAGUUUCUGAGUAAGAAUGGUGGCUAUAAGAACUCUAAGAAAGAAUAUCAGAAGGGAUGCUUCAACUGUAAGAAGCAUGGACACUUCAUUGUUGAUUGCCCUGAUCUUCAGAAGGAGAAAUCAAAGGACAAGUCAAAGAAAUCAAGCUUCAACACAAGGAAAUUUAGAAAGCAGAUCAAAAAGAGUUUAAUGGCAACCUGAGAAGAUUUAGACAGUAAUUCAGACUUGAAAAGGAAGAUUCUUAAGAAGAUGCUAAAGUAGUUGUUAGGUUAGUGGCUAAUGUGAAUUCAGAAGCAGAUUCUGAAGAUGAAAAUGAGGUAUAUUCUAAAUUUCCCAUAGAAAAAUUGAUUGAGUCUCUUAAAGAACUUCUUACACAUUUUGAAUAUAGAACCAAUGAGUUGAAAGAUUUAAAAGAAAAAUAUGUUGCUUUGAUGAAACAACAAGAAUCAACUCUAUUGGAUCUGAAAGCUUCUGAAGAAGGACUUAGAGGGUUUGACUUCAUUUGUAGAACUUAUGAAGAAAAACUCAAGCAUCUUUGUCAGAAACUACAAGAAAAGUGUAAUGGAAAGUUUUUCAGUAAAGAAGAAAUUGCUCUUGAGGAGUAGAUUAUGUCAGGUAUUGACAGGAGCAAAGUUGCUUCUAUGAUUUAUAGCAUUUACAGAAACAAUGGUAAAGGGAUGGAUUUUCAGAAGGGAAACCAAAUGAAAUCAGUCUUAAAGCCGGUUGUGAAUGCAUCAGGAAGGAUUGAAAACCGUCUUUGUACCUGAAGGUGUAACACCCUAAAACCCACAUAUUAUUUUCUAAAUAAAAAUAUAAUAAUUAAUUAAACAUGCAAGGAUGUCACACAUCUUCUUCAAUUUAAAAAUACUUCAUUUAAAUAAAAACACGUCGAAACGGAAUAAAUUCAAAACAUCAAUGUAAUUGUCACAUCAGUGUAUCGACAUCAGAACUAAAUUCAAAGUCGAAUUUUGAAAACAAAAUCUAAAAUAAAAAGAAUCCCCAAUCCCUAGUGCCACUGAUCAGAGCUUCGACUCAAUAAAUACUCCCAAAAGCGAUAAGAAAAAAAAGAGAAGGCUCCAACGCCAUCCUCCGAGACUCACUGCUACUAAGAUAUUCUUUCUGCAAAUGUACACCACAAGGGUGCAGGCGCCCAACCUGCCACUAGAGGGUGAGAAUAUAUUCAACAUAAGAAAUUCAUAAACAUAUGUAUAGAUCCAGACUAAAGAAUACAUCAAUUAUAUUUAGAAAUGUAUGCAUCAUAAUCAGAUAAUAUUCACAUUUGAAUAUAUAAUUUAAUUUAGUAAAAAUCUAAUAGGCAUCAAUCAACAUCUUAUAAUAACAUGUGAACAUCAACAAUCAUAUAUUCAUAUUUAUUCACAUCAUUUAAUAAUCAUCUUUCAUCAUUUAAUAGAAACAAACAUAUCACCGUCAUUAAAUAAACUCAUCUUCAACUAUAAAUUUAUAUAUAUAUAGAUACUACAUCGUCAAAUAUACUACAUCUUCAAAUAUAUAUUUAUAUAUAGAUACUACAUCGUCAAAUAUACUACAUAUUCAUAUAUGCUUGACAAUGAAUGCAAUGUCCCUAACUCGACUCUAUAUGCAUGUGGUACCAAACCUAUCACCAUUGUCAAAUAUUUGGAUAUCAGAGGUAUGUUACUGAUUUUGUCCACACCAUCGUCAAAUACAACAUUGUCAAAUAUGACUGACCAUGAAUGCAUGAACACCAAACUAAUGACUCGACAAUGCACAUCUUUAUAAAACUCGACAAUUACACAUCUUUAAAUAGCUCAUCAUCAAAUAUUACUAUAUUACACACAUCUUUUAACCACACAUAUUCAAAUAACACAUCUUUAUAGAACACAUCUUUAAAUCACACAUCUUCAAACAUUACAUCUUUAAAUAUCAUAUAAAUUUUAAAAUUCAAAUGUGAUAAAAUCCAAAUAAUUAAAAUCAUAGUAUUCACAUAAAUAAUUAAGAAUGAUUCAAAGUCCAUUAGCAGCGAAGAAAACAGUAGCGACCAAAAAAUAAUAUAGUGAAAGAGAAGAAGCAAAAUUCACACCAAUAUUGAUAUACAUUUAGCAAACCCUAUCGGUAUGAUAAGAAUAAAAAAAAAGUAUAUAUGUAUAUAAUUAUCCAAGAAGCCGAAGUGAACGAAUCCGAAAUUGAGUUAUGUCGUGCAAAAUUUCAUGAAACUUUGAUCAAGAAAUUUAACCAAAUAAAUUAAUAAAAUUGUGAGGAUUUUAUUUUAAUUGAAAAUUGUAGCAUAUAGUCACAUACUAACCGAAUGGGGAUCAUUGAUAAAUUGAUGAAGCAUGCAUAGGAUCAACACCAUGUAAAUAUAAAUAUAUACAUACCAAAAUAUACUGAAUGACAAUUUACGAAAAAUAUGUACAUGCAUAAAUUCGAAUGACAUAAAGGACACAAUUUUCUCAAUUUGAAUUUAACUGAAGAAUCGAACACAUGGAUCACAAAAGUAUGCAUAAAACAAUCAAUCACAAUUUAACAAAAAUCAUCAAAAAAUUAUGAAAACAAACAAAAACCCUUCACAACCCAUAUAUUCAUACAACCCUUAUGGUGAAUAGAGACUCCCCCCUUACCUCUAAUUUUGAGAAAUUGAUAAUUUCAUACGGUAAAAUCUCUCUCUAGGUUCUUCUCGUUAUUCCUCCUUGUCUCUUCUCUCCACAACCCUAGCUAAUUUUUCCGUUGCCGCUUUAUUUCUCUCUUUUUCGGUAAUCCUUUUUCUCUAAUAUUCUUCUCUAUUUAUAAGCUCUAAUUGAGUUUAUUACAAAUAUUUUUAGAUUACUAUAUGUUCUCUAGGUUUGUUGCUAAUCUUUCUGCACCUACACAAUCUUGCUAUUCGCACCUCCCUCUGCUUAAAUCAAUAAAGCACUACUCAGCUCACUAACUACAUCUCUUUUCUACCCAAUUUUACUAAUCCACCUUUAUACGCACUCUACUUUCUUAUUCUAUCUAAAAACUCUAUUUUCUUCUUAAAUAUUAUUUUCUCUCACUCUUUAACCGACUAACCAACACAUCUACAUGCUCCUUACCUAUUCUUCCAAUAAAUACAAAUAUUUAAAUUAAUACUACCUAACAACCAAUACUAAUAAUAGCAAUAAUACUAAUAUUAUCUAAUAAUAAUAUUAAUAAACUAAUAUUAAAAAUCGGGCUGUUACAAAAGGUGCUAAGAGUGAAACUGUUGUUCAGUCAGUACCUGAAGCUACUAGCUCUGAGGCUAAGAUAACUUCAAAGCCAAAGAACUCUAAGUCAAAGGCAAUGAUAACUUCUGAUUCUAAGACUUCAAAGAUUAAGAUUCUGAAGAGAUCAGAACUUGUUCCUCAGAGUCUGAUGAAGUCAGAAGCUGGUAUCUUAAAGUCUAAGUCCUAGAGGAAGAAAACAUUUGUUGCUACUUGGGACUCAGAACCUAGAGGUAUUAAACCUAAAGCAAUGAGUAACCAGAAGCAAUUAAACUCACAGCACAAGGUACAAGAAGUGAUGAGUAAAACUUACAGUACUAACCUGAAAGGACCCAUAAGACAAUGGGUACCUAAAUCUGAAAACGUCAAUAUUGCAGAUAUGUCUAAGAGCAAAAGUAAAGCAAAAAUCAUGGUACCUAGACAGCGGUUGCUCAAGGCAUAUGACAGGAGAGAAGUCUAUGUUCCUCACCCUUACAAUGAAAGAAGGAGGAAAUGUGAAGUUUGGAGGCAGCCAACCUGGCGUGAUUAUUGGUACAGGAACUAUUGGUAACUCCUCUAUCUUAAUUAAUAAUGUGUGGCUGGUAGAUGGUCUUGAACAUAACCUUUUAAUUAUUAGUCAAUUUUGUGAUAAUGAUUAUGAUGUGAUGUUUGGUAAGACCAGCUGUACGGUAAUCAAAAAGGAUGAAAAAUCCAUAAUAUUCAAGGGAAAGAGAGUAGUGAAUGUCUAUAAAAUUAACUUUUAUGAACUGGUUGAUCAGAAGGUAAUUUGCCUUCCUUCAGUGAAUGAUAAGUAAUGGAUGUGGCACAUAAGGUUAGGACAUGCUAAUUGAAGAUUAAUCUCUAAGCUUAGUAAGUUACAACUAGUUAAAGGCUUACCUGACAUUGAUUAUCAUUCAGAUGCACUUUGUGGUGCAUGCUAGAAAGGGAAGAUUUUGAAAUCAUCUUUUAAAACAAAAGACAUUGUCUCAACCUCCAGACCCUUAGAAUUACUUCAUAUUGAUUUAUUUGGACUAGUUAACACUGCAUCCUUAUAUGGAAGUAACUAUGGAUUGGUCAUUGUUGAUGAUUAUAGCAGAUGGACUUGACUAAAAUUCCUAAGAAGUAAGGAUAAUGCAUAUGAUGUAUUCAGUAGAUUCUAAUCUUAAAAAGAAAUGAAAAUUUUAAAAGUCAGAAGUGAUCAUGGUGGUGAAUUUGAAAAUGAGCCAUUUGAACUUUUUUGUGAAAAACAUGGAAUUGUCCAUGAAUUCUCUUCUCCUAGAACUCCACAACAAAAUGGGGUUGUAGAGAGAAAUAGAACUUUACAAGAAAUGGCUAGAACCAUGAUUCAUGAAAACAAUUUGGCUAAACAUUUCUGGGCAGAAGCAGUGAAUACAGCAUGUUAUGCAUAAAAUAAAAUCUACAUCAGACCUAUCUUAGAGAAAACAACAUAUGAACUCUUUAAAGGAAGAAGACUCAAUAUCUCUUACCUUCAUAAAUUUGGAUGUACCUAUUACAUUCUAAAUAACAAGCUCUACCUAAAGAAAUUUGAUGCCAAGGCCCAAAGAGGAAUCUUUUUAGGUUACUCUGAAAGGUCAAAGGCAUACAGAGUGUAUAAUUCAGAUACACUUUGUGUUGAAGAAUCAAUGCACGUAAAAUUUGAUGACAAAGAGCCUGGAAGUGAAACUCUAAAGCAAGAUGAAAGUUUUGCAGAUAUACAGGUCACUGAAGACAUUUCAGAACCUGAUAAGAAAGCUGAAUCUGAAGAAAGUCCAGAAGCUCAACCCACUCUAGAAGUUGAACCAACCUUAGAAGCACAAUAUGAAAAUGCUUCUGAAGAAACUCAAGAUGACUCUCAGCAAGUAGUUCAAUCCAAAAAUACAUUCAAGCACAAGUCUUCACAUCCUAAGGAUUUAAUCAUUGGAAAUAAAGAUAGUCCUAGAAGAACAAAAUCAUACUUCAGACAAGAAGAAUCUAUGAUAGGAUUAUUAUCAGUGAUUGAACCUGCCACAGUUGAUAAAGCACUUUCAGAUGAUGGAUGGAUAUUAGCUAUGCAAGAAAAACUAAAUCAGUUUCAAAGAAAUGAUGUGUGGGAUCUGGUACCCAAACCUCAGUAGAAGAACAUUAUUUGAACAAAAUAGGUAUUCAAAAACAAGUUGAAUGAACAAGGUGAAGUAACCAGAAACAAAGCCAGAAUUGUUGAACAAGGUUACAGUCAACAAGAAGGCAUUGACUACACUGAAACAUUUGCUCCAGUCGCAAGAUUGGAAGCAAUUAGGUUACUUCUAUCUUAUGCAGUAAAUCAUGACAUAAUAUUAUAUCAAAUGGAUGUCAAGAGUGCAUUUCUUAAUGGAGUCAUUGAAGAAGAAAUGUAUGUCAAGCUGGAAGAUUAUAAAGUGAUGAACACUCUAAUGCAUCCAACUAGCACCUUAAGCAAAGAAGAUACUGGAACAAAGGUAGACCAAAAGCUGUAUGGAUGUAUGAUUGGUUCCUUGUUAUACAUCACUGCAUCUAGACCAGAUAUUUUAUUCAGUGUAUGCUUGUGUGCAAGAUUUCAGUCAGAUCCAAGAAAAUCUCAUUUAACUGCUGUUAACAGAAUUUUCAGGUAUUUGAAGGGAACAACUAAUCUUAGACUCCUCUAGGAAAUCCCUAGAUUAUCAGUUGGUUGAAUUUUGUGAUGCUGAUUAUACUGGUGACAGGAUUGAAAGAAAAUAAACCAGUGGAAACUGCCAUUUCCUUGGAGAGAAUUUAAUAUCCUGGACUAGCAAAAGACAAGCAACUAUUGUUAUGUCUACAACAGAAGUAGAAUACAUCUCACCUGCAAGUUGUUGUACACAACUACUUUGGAUGAAACAUCAGUUGGAGGACUAUCUGAUAAAUGCUAACAGUAUUAUGUUCAAAAAGAAAUUUUAGAUAUACAAUUUAUUGAUACUGAACAUCAAUGGACGGAUAUAUUUACUAAGUCUUUAAAUGUUGAAAGAUUUGAUUUUAUAAAGAAAAAUUUGAACAUGCAUUUUGUGUCUGAUUAAAUUUGCUUGCUGUUGAACAAGAAGUUUGGUUCUGAGGUCUGUUCAGAAGCUUUACACGUACAAUAUAGUGUAUACCUUAUAUUGAGAGAGAGAGAGAGAGAGAGAGAGAGAGAGGAGAGAGAGAGAGAGAGAGAGAAGGAGAUGGUUGGGCGAUAUAGGAAGAGAAUGAAAUGGUUUGGUAAUCGGAAGAGAUGGUUGAUCACAAGCGAGUGAGAAAGGAACGAUAACGGUUCUUCUUUCUUUUUUGAGGAAAAUUGUUUUGUAACAGUAGAAAUCUAUUUUUUCUUUUAGAAAUAGGAGCCAAAUUCUUGAAAUUUUGGGAUUGGCGGAAAUGUUUGUAGCCAAAAAUUAUAAAGAAAUAGAUUUUUGUUAUUUUGAAUAAUAAAUAAUGUAAUAAAUGUAUCAUACAGAAGGUUAGACCGUGGGUAAUUAUUGACGACAAAAAGCCGUCUAUAAUUAUUGAUGGCUAAGCCGUGGGUAGCAAUUUCAAAAAAUUCACAUUGAACUUUUACAUGCCUUGGGUAAUCCAUCACUACUCUAAAAAAUUAACCACGGUCUUACGGCCGCGAGUAAUUGUUCGUGGGUAAUGACAGAUUUUUUUCUUGUAGUGAGGGAUGAUAAGAAACAAAACCAAAGCCAUAUGCAGAGGACAGAAGAGUUUCCACAUUAUUACGGCCAGCCAUGGUACAGUUUGAACAGAUUGAAUUGAGUUUAAAAAAAGAAGAGUGAAGCACCAAAGGAGGUAAUAGUGCAUGUCUUUACAUCGAGUGAAUUAGGUUGGAUGAAUUUGCCAACAGGCGUGGGAAAUAGAGGCUGUUCUGGUUUUCCAGAUGGAAGUCCAAAGGCAACAAAAUAAAUUUAUGAUUCCUCACUGUGACAAAGUAACAGGUUUGGGGCACUGUAACAGAGGAUAUUAUUUUAUUACACAUCAUAGAUCGGAAAUAACAACAGUAACAAAAAGUAAAAGGAUAUCAUCACCCCCUACCCUAUCCAAGACAAAAAUACCUAACCAAAUUGUCCAAAAUUCCUCACCUUGGCCAGUGUUUCUCCAGCAUUUUGAAUGGUAAACUGCAGAGUAAGACUCAAGUCACGGAUGGAAGAAAACACAAACUCAACACUAGAAGAAAUAUGUAUUACUUAAAAAUGACCGAUUUAUCCAAAACAUGGAAGGGGAAGUCUAUGAUAGCCUCAUCCUAAGCUUUUACAAAGGAAUCAAGAAGCAUUCAUUUGAUAAUAGACACCUUGCACCACUGUAAGGAAGACGAUAUCGUUGGGGGAGUAUACAUCAUAAGUCAAAAAUAAAAACGUAGACAACAAACAUACAAGAAUAUUAUCUUUCCCACGUCCAUCAGUCCCUAUCGAACAUACCAUCAAAACAAACAGCACCUGAUCAAGAUGUCCAUCCUAGGAAGGGAAGAGUUGCUCCAGAAUGUAGUAUGCUAAACCACUGGGUAAGACUCAAGUUACCCAUAAAGAAACACAAAAACUUCAACACUAUUAUAAACGAAAGGGAAGUACGUUAUAACAAAAAGAACUAAGAGAGAAAGAAAAGUAGCCUGAUUCCUCUAAUCAAGUUGAAGAUCAACAGCAUAACAAAGAGAGGCCCCAACAAGCUAUCCCAACUUCACUAGAAUCAUAAACUUUUGCACUGUCGCAUAUCUAAAACCCAAUGUACCAGAUGAGAAUGUACAGAAAAAUUAUGUUGUGACAAAUAGUCUGUAGGAAAAAGAACUGAGAGAGAAAGAAUAGGAGCUUUAUUAUUCAAACCAAGUCACAGAUCGGAAUAAUAAUGAAGCCCAGCAAGCUGUCCCAACUUCACGAGAAUCAUGUAAGCUUUUGCACUGUCAGAUUCAGAUCAAAAACCAAAUGUCGAUGGUAAGAACUUCACAAUUGUACAUCAAUAAAACUCGGAAGGAAAAAAAUGAACCCAACAAAGUUCGCAAUCCAAGUAGAGCAUUCCCAAAUAAACACGAGGCUUGAUACUAAACAGAAUGUUAUGGUUUCAGAACACAAUAGCAUCAUCUUUCAAUUUACAUGUAAAAACAGUCAGAACCAAAUCAAACCUUUGAAUCAAGAAAUCAGAAAAGUACCAUACAAUACAUGAAGACAAAAAAGGGAGAGAUAACACCAGAAAGAAUCACUUCUUCCUAAUUUACCUUACAUGCAACACGGGAAAAUAAAAAGUCAAGAAAAGUAUGCUUUCAAAAGAUUUGAGAAUUAUUGAAAACCAGAAGAAUUUAGAAGAGAUGACCAAAUCAAAACUCAAGGCUUCAUGCUAUGAAGAAAGAACAUAGUACUUCUACAAACCACUCUGCAGAAAAACAGGUGCACAAUUUUUAUAUGCUUCAUACUCACUGCUGGUACAGAACCACAAAAACUCCGACACUUGCAAGAUUAGUACAGAGAACAGAAGCACUAAUCAUCACAAAUUUCUACCUAAGUUCUUAUCGCAAAAUUAAUCCUAGCAGACAGUCGAAAAUGUAUAUCAAAAUUUAAUUAGUUUGCAGAAGAUAUGUGAUUAAUACAAACCGAUUUCUCCAUUUCAGACGGAAAAAUUAACAAAGUGCAGAGUGAUCGGAGACAUCUGUUGUACAACAAACCAAUGUAAAACAUAGCCUGUGAAAACAGAUGAUUCAUGUACAGAAAACCCACGACAUGACAAACAGUUGUAGAGGAAACCAACAAAAAGAAGGAAGAUAGUUUAAUUUACCAGAAACGUGUGAACUUUGCAUUGUCAGAUUACAUGUCAAAAACCUAAAAUGUAAGAUAACAGCAGUAUGAAGGGAUAAGAAUACUUACGGCUAGACUAUUCACAUAAAGGAAUAAAUCGAGAAGACAAUUUGUAUGCUUGAUCAGGUCACCACGAAACAGAAAUAAACCUAUACACUUAAUAAUACACAAAAUGUGGUUGUUUUAAGAUACAUUACAUUGCAAAAAACAGGUUUUAAUUCACAAUUCCACCAGGGAUGAUUAUCAUGUAUCAAGUUUUACAAAACAUUACCUUUUCCUGAGACUCAAUUGGAAACAUACAAAACAGAAAAUUCAUAUCAGAACGCAAGCUAUGUUUCCAAGUUCCACAAAAUAUUACUGUUACCUACUACUCAAAUAGCAAUACCUUAAACACAAAACAACAUCUGUUGUAACAGAGGAAUAAUAAUAUUUAUUGUAACAGAGGAAUUAGAGAACAACCAAUUGGAACCGAAACAAACUUCAUCAAAAUAAGAACUGCAAACGUCAAGAUACCUAAUAAUCAACCAGAAAGAAUAAGAAAUUGUAUGUUCACAAAUUAUUGCUCCUGCAACACCAAAGAGUAACGAAUCAAGAAAUAUUCACUCUGAGUAGUUAAAGAAAUAUUGAAAACAAAAUGAUUAUAAUAAAUAUCACCAAAUAAAAACGCUAGACUCAAUGCUGCGAAGAAAGUUAUUAGCUUGACAGACCAUGCUGCAAAAAAAACAUGUUCAAAAUUCAAUUUGUAUAACUUGCAAUCACAGGCCAUAAAUUAAAUUAAUAAAGGACUCAUUGAAGAAAAAUCAUUUAUCUAUCAGAUGUCGUUCCCCGUUAUUGUCCGUUGAAUCAAAUGUUCAAGAUAUCAAGACUUCCCUGCUCGCAGUACAACGGAUAAACAGAUCUUCGGUUAUCAAAUAAAGAAUUACAUUGAAAAAUAACACAAAGAUUGAAUAGAUGAAUUUUCUAGAGAUCACCAGGAAAAUACUCAAGGCUCCAUACUCUGAAGUAGGUGAUUAUUUAGACAAACCAGGCUGCAGAAAAAGCAUGUUCACAGUUCAAAUCUUUUCAUGAUCAAAAGCUUAAAUUGGAAACCAUGUAGAAUGAAUCAUUGAAGAAAUUCGAUUUAUCUAUGUGAAGCAAUUCCCCGUUCAUAUCUGUUGUGUCAAGAAUCGAAAAUGUUGUAGUUUUUCAAAUUUCCGCUUUCUGCAAAAUGGUUAAACGCAUAUCUCAAUUAUCUAAUUAUGAAGAAGUAAAACCAAUAGUUGGAAAAUAAACAUAUAAUUAUUGAAAAAAAACGAUCCAUAAAUGAAGAGUAGAGAGAACUGUGAAAUUCA